rnacentral:rRNA from 1 species
UACAGAGACUGCAAGCGUUAUUCGGAUUCACUGGGCGUAAAGGGUGCGCAGGCGGCCGUGUGUGUGAGGCGUGAAAGCCCGGGGCUUAACCCCGGAAUUGCACCUCAAACUACAUGGCUAGAGCAUUGGAGAGGGUAGCGGAAUUCACGGUGUAGCAGUGAAAUGCGUAGAUAUCGGAAGGAACAUCAGUGGCGAAAGCGGCUUCCUAGACCAAUACUGACGCUCAUGUGCGAAAGCGUGGGGAGCAAACAGG